UACGGAGGGGGCUAGCGUUGUUCGGAAUUACUGGGCGUAAAGCGCGCGUAGGCGGACCUGCAAGUCGGGGGGUGAAAGCCCGAGGCUCAACCUCGGAACUGCCUUCGAUACUGCGGGUCUCGAGUCCGGGAGAGGUGAGUGGAAUUCCUAGUGUAGAGGUGAAAUUCGUAGAUAUUAGGAAGAACACCGGUGGCGAAGGCGGCCCACUGGUCCGGUACUGACGCUGAGGUGCGAAAGCGUGGGGAGCAAACAGG
rnacentral:rRNA from 1 species